UACGUAGGGAGCAAGCGUUGUCCGGAAUCAUUGGGCGUAAAGCGCGCGUAGGUGGCCUCAUAAGUCCGCUGUGAAAGUCAAAGGCUCAACCUUUGAAAGCCGGUGGAUACUGUGAGGCUAGAGUACGGAAGAGGCGAGUGGAAUUCCUGGUGAAGCGGUGGAAUGCGCAGAUAUCAGGAGGAACACCAAUAGCGAAGGCAGCUCGCUGGGACGUUACUGACACUGAGGCGCGAAAGCGUGGGGAGCGAACAGG
rnacentral:rRNA from 1 species